UCUGUGAAAAGAAAAGAAAAUUUGCGCACAGAUCUUGAUUAUGAUGUCUAGAAAGAAAAGCAGAAAACCAAACAAAAGCAGGUUGAACCGUAAAAGGCUAAGGGCAUAUGUGAGAUGUGAGCCCCUUCUCUCUCUGUGUCUAUCUUCUUCUUCCUUUAGAGCCAGUGUAUGGCUUCGAUUAGGGUUUUUGAGGAAAGAAAAAGAGAAAUGAAAGAAGAAGGUAGGUUAUUUAAGCUUUUAGCUGCAAAAGAGAAGACUGAAAAAAUAUUUCCACUGAGAAGAUCCUCUAGAUAGAGUGCAGGAUGGGGUCUCCAUUGGAGUAGAGAGUUUGCGGUGGCUGGCAACGGGUCAAACUCAAAGUG
rnacentral:misc_RNA from 1 species